GUGGGAGAGACAGAACCUGGUACUACGUGGCCAGGCAGGACCACCUCCGCAAUGAUCAAACCGGCACCUCAAGGAGUUCCCAGGGAGGCGGGCAGAACAAGCCCCCUAUGGGCUGACAGGAAAACUUCACAGAAGAUCCGAAUUUCAACCACAGCACUACGCAAUCAUGGGUGGAUGACUCUCUAGAUGCAGAAUCACCGAUAUGGAACCUUGGAUAUGGAGGCCUAACUUGGCACGUGGGACCUUGAUUCCCAGAGGAUAAGGGAUGAAACCCCUGCCCCCUGCGGUGGAAGCAGAGAAUCUUAACCACUGGAUCGUCAGUCCCCUCUACUAACCUACCUUUUAAAAACUUUUUGCACCUCCUUAGUUACCACAAGAGAGGGGAAACAAUCCCUGAGAGACCGGGCACAAACCACUUCCUAUCUCUUGAAAUACCCUGCACCUUCUAACAAACUGGAACGUUAUCUGGAAACGUCUAAUUUUCAACCACGAUGAGGAGACGCCUAUCCCUCAAUACCUCCUUCCGCUUUGGUUCCACUCCAUUUC